UUAAGAACAAGGAAAUCUAAGGGUUAGACACUUGAACCUUUAAUAAAAAUAUCUUGCCAUUCCACUGUGUUAAAUGAUUGUGUCUUGCCUUAUCUCUCUUGCUAUAUCAAUCAUGGGAUAACUUUCUUGAGGCAAACAAGCUCCUGUAGAAACUCAGGACAAACUAAAGGUUGGUCGCGCUGGUAAAUUACAAGGAAAUCUAAAGAAAAAUAAAUUUGAACUUGGUACAAAAUUCAUGCCAUCCUCUUACCUCUUCUGGUAUCUCCAUUAAGUUCAGCACUCUACCUCAGUGGUAAACACUACAGCAAAGCUAAAGGUUAGUUUCGCUGUUCAAGAACAAGUAAAUCUAAAGGCUAGUCGCUUGAACCUUUAAUAAAAAUGUCAUGUUGUUCCACCCGGCUCAAGAGUUUUGUUUUGUCUUACCCUUCUUGCUCCUUCAAUCACAGUAUCCCUGCCUUGAGACACAGAAGCUCCUGUACAAGUUCAGGUCUGUACUUCGUUUGUAAACUCUAAGGCAAAACCAGCUGAAAAACUAAAUGUUAGUCACUCUGGUAAAUUACAAAGAAAUCGAAAGGCGACGAACUUGAACUUUGUACAAAAGUCAUGCCACUCCACUGUGCUAAAAACCUGUGUCUUUUCUUACCUCUUCUGCUCUCUCCAUUAUGGGGAACCUGACUGGAGGUAAACACGCUCCUGUACAAGUUCAGGACUCGGUGAUGAAGACUACAGCAAAAAUAAAGAAGCUCCUGUACAAGUUCAGGACAAGACCAUUUCUGUAAACACUAGGGCAAAACUAAAGGUUAGUCACUUUGGUAAAUUAGAAGAAAAAUCUAAAGGCAAUGCACUACAACUGUAUGUUAUUCUGCUCCAAUAUAUUAAAAACUUGUGUCUUUUUAUUCCUCCCUUGCCACCUCAAUCAUGGUGUACCUGUCGAGGGAAAUAAGCUCCUAUACAAGUUCAGGUGACCAGUCAGGACUUGACCUCUGAGGUAAACACUAUAGUGAAAGCAGUGAAAAAACUAAAGUCUAGACACAAUGACAAACUUAUUGUCCAAAUCUAAAAUCUAGGAACCUGAACUUUUAGAACAGUCUUGGUGCUCUACUAUGACUCACACUUAUUUGUCUUUUUUCUUUUUUUCUUUUUACCUCUUCUGCUCUCUCCAUUAUGGGGAACCUGACUGGAGGUAAACACGCUCCUGUAGAAGUUCAGGACUCGGUGAUGAAGACUACACCAAAAAUAAAAGUUAGUCAUUCUGUUAAUGUAAAUCCAAAGGAUAGUCAUUUAAACUUUUUUUUUUUUUAUGUAAUGUUGUUCCCCUACGCUAAACAGUUUGUUCUUGUUCUCCCUCUUGCUACCUUAAUCAUGGUGAACAUGACUUGAGACACAGACGCUCCUGUAGAAGUUCAGGUCUCUACCUCGGUGGUAAAGACUACCGCAAAACCAGCAGCACAACUAAAGUUUAGUCUCGCUGUUCAAGAACAAGGAAAUCUAAAGGCUAGUCACCUGAACCUUUAAUAAAAAUGUCAUGUCUUGUCUUACCUCUCUUGCUACCUCAAUCACGGUGUCCCUGUCUUGAGGCACAGAAGCUCCUGUACAAGUUCAGGUCUCUAGGUUGGUGGUAACCACUACAACAAAACUAAAUGUUAGUCGCUCUGGUAAAAUUACAAAGAAAUUGAAAGGCAAUGAACUUGAACUUUGUACAAAAGUCAUGCCACUCCACUGUGCUAAAAACCUGUGUCUUUUCUGCUCUCUCCAUUAUGGGGAACCUGACUGGAGGUAAACACGCUCCUGUACAAGUUCAGGACUCUGUGAUGUAGACUACGGCAAAAAUAAAGGUUAGUCUUGCUGUUCAAGGAACUCUAAAGGAUAGUCAGUUGAACCUUUAAUAAAAUCGCCAUGUUGUUCCACUCGGCUAAACGGUUUUGUCUUUUCUUAUUUCUCUUGCUACCUUAAUCACAGUGUCCCUGUCUUGAGGUAAACACACUCCUGUACAAGUUCAGGACUAGACCUUUUCUCUAAACACUAGGGCAAAACUAAGGGUAGUCACUUUGGUAAAUUGAAAGAAAAAUCUAAAGGCAAUGCACUUGAAUUUUUCAUGCCACUCCACUAUGCUAAAAACUUUUCUUAUCUCUUUUGCUAUCUCCAUUAUGGGGAACCUGACUGGAGGAACAGAAGCUCCUGUACAAGUUCAGAACUUGGUGAUGAAGACUACGGCAAAACCACCGGCAAAAAUGAAGAUUAGUCACUCUGUUCAAGGAAAUGUAAAGGAUAGUCACUUGAACCUUUAAUAAAAGUGUCAUGUUGUUCCACUCG